UGAGGAAUAUUGCGCAAUGGGCGAAAGCCUGACGCAGCGACGCCGCGUGGAGGAUGAAGGUCUUAGGAUUGUAAACUUCUGUUAAGUGGGAAGAAAGACCUGUCUCUAAUACAGACAGGGGAUGACGGUACCAUUAAAGAAAGCACCGGCUAAUCUCGUGCCAGCAGCCGCGGUAAUACGAGAGGUGCAAGCGUUAUUCGGAAUUAUUGGGCGUAAAGGGUGCGUAGGCGGCAUACUAAGUCAACUGUUAAAGACUCCGGCCCAACUGGAGAAAUGCGGUAGAUACUGGUAGGCUAGAGGGUGAAAGAGAGAAGUGGAAUUCUCGGAGUAGCGGUAAAAUGCGUAGAUCUCGAGAGGAACACCAAUGGCGAAGGCAGCUUCUUGGUUCACUUCUGACGCUGAUGCACGAAAGCGUGGGGAGCAAACAGG
rnacentral:rRNA from 1 species